rnacentral:lncRNA from 1 species
AAACAGCCGUGCUCAAACCCUCGUCCUCUCAAACUCUCUCUAGCCCCUCCGAAACCCUAGCCUUCUCCCACCAUUUUCACCAUAUUUCAUCAAAAUCCACGGCAUUCGCAGGCCCUGGGUGGCAUUUACUCACCUCCAUGUGCUCUUGUACACUUGCUACUAGAAGAUUCAAGGUUAUACCUUGAAGGUUUUUGCUCAGAUCGUCGUCGAUUCAAGUGUCACGGCAAUCUGUGGCAUGUCCUGGUCCUAUGAGCCUAUCUCUGGGUCACCUGGCUCAGAGCAUCCCCUUUUCCAGGCCUUUCUCACUUCUAGGGUUCUUCUGAAACCCUAGCCUUUCGAGGUUUUCCUAUAUUUCUCUAGAUUCGCGAUAGAUCCAUGCUUGUUUUAAGGUUUUCAAAAUGAUUCCUUAAAUCUCUUUCAAAAUUUUGCUUUCAAAACUAUUCAUCCUCUCCGAUUUAAGGUUUCUUUGAUUUUAUAUCUUCUACUGUGAUUUUACGUGGUGUUCUUACUGCAUUCGUCUUACUGUGAUUCCUAUCUAUUUCUACUUUGACUCCUAUGUGCUUUCUUCUACUAUGUUUCUUCCUAAUGUUUCCUUCUAUUUGCUUUUACUGUGUUUUCCCUCAGCAUCUUUUCACGGAACAAUUAAGUUCCUUUGGGUUUUCUAUGUUUGCUCUUGCUUGAUUUGUUCGUUUUCAUCCCUACAAUAGUAUAAUGACGAAACCCUAGAAUUUGGGGGUUUUCAGACCACGUGUAUGUUAUUUGCAUGUUCUCACCUCUGAACUAGUUUGAUUUCAAUUUCUGAAAGUUAUCUCUGUUUUAAUAUGGUUCUGACCUUUUGCCAAAAGCUAGAUUUUUCUUCUUUCAUGUUUGAAGUGUUUGUAUGCUCCUUAUAUACUAUUAUUUUCCCCCUUAAAAUGGUCUUUCAAAUUUUUAAUUAGUUCAAAAUCUCUUGGGAAUACAGCUUGAUUGAUUUCUUUCCAUUCCCACGACUCGACCUAAGUAAAACCCUUCUCUUUUUCAGACUGGAUUCAUUCGUAUAAAAUCUCAGACCUUUGAUUCACUGUUUGUUAAUUGGUCUUCUUACCUUAUUUACACAAAUCGUGUAUUUUAAAAAAGCUUUUCCUUAAAUAGUUUUCAUGUAUUCACCCUUAUUUGUAUAUUAUGCACAUGUUGUUUAUUUGAUCCCCUUUUCUUAAAUAUUUUUCGUCCUUUACUGAUCAAAUUGGAAUUCCUUAAUUAAAGGAACCUCUGUUAAUUGAUUGAUCUUAAUUGAUACUCGACUAAUUUUCUCUUUACUGAUCAAGUUGGGAUUCCUUAAUUAAAGGAACCUCUGUUAAUUGAUUGAUCUUAAUUGAUACUAGACUAAUUUUCUUUCCUUGCUUGCAUGUCUGAUUUCAAGUAUAAAUACAUGCUCUUCUUUUCACUUCAACAUCGAAUUCUGACUGCAAAACCAAAAUCAGAAUAGAAAAAAGAAAAAAGAAAAAUAUAUUGUUGAUAAUGAGGACCGACUGAGUCCAUUCUAACAUGUUUUUGUUUUGAAUCGCAAAGAAAAUUAAGGUCACUUCUUUGUCUUCUUUACUACUAUUAUUGCUACUCUCUAUUUCUCUACACUACUACUGAGCAUUCUACAUAUGUACCUCCUGCUGUUUGAACUCCUAAGCACUUGGGGAGUUUCUUGAGUUUGUUCCUAUUUGUUCCUGGCUUUUUGUUUGAUGGUACUAUUCUACUGUGCUAGAAUUUAUAACUGGUAUGUUCUUCUAUGUUAAAUAGCAUCUUUGUUCAACUUCUCUGCUUCUACCCCUUUCAUUGUGUUUUUAUUAUGCUUUCCUGCACUAUUUAAUUACCUUCAGGCAUGCUACGUCCUCUUAUAUUAUUUUAAUCCCUUUCCCUUUAUUCCCUUUGUAUGUGAGUAUUGUCCUGGGUCAUAGCAGCACUAUGAAUUGCUUUUUGUGAUCCAGAACUAGACUUUUCUGAGUCUUUACUCGAUUGUUUUCCCAUUCCCUUCCCCUCAAUGUGCUGAGCUCUAAUUUGGGUCUGUUGGUGUCCUGAUCAUCAUUCAGACCUAAGUUUGACUCUAUAAGAGUCUGCUAUUAUUUGUUUGAAUCUGAGUAGCAGGUUAGGGUUGUGCCAGUCUAUGCCAUGGCUGGGUAUGACCACCUCCUGCUAAGGUUCCUCUCUCACUUUACACAUACUCCUAGCUCUUAAGUUAUACCCCCCUCUGGUAAGCCAUGCUUAGGGACCCUAGAGCUCCCUCUGAACUUGGAUGCCUAAAUGCUGGUAAUUCCACACAUUGCACUGUUCUGUUACCACAUUCACUUUUUAGGGUGUAAGCAUUGCCUGGGCUCUUGAAGCUCUUUGGAACUUUGAAAUAAUCUAAGAGAAGGCCUUGGAAUCUGGAACUUAAAUUUGGUAAACACAUGUAUUGGAUAUCAAGAUUGCAUUAGGCAGUUUGGAUCUAGCUGUGGGUUAUGAUGUAUUUUAUUUUAUUUUGGUUCUGUAAUAGUAUCUUUUUAAUAAAACUUGGCGAAUAUAGUAGUAAGGGUAUGGGAGGGGCUUUUAGUUGUUUGGAUGCUAAAGGGUAGAAAUCAUGCCUAUUGGACUUUUACCACUUUAAAUCACCUAGAAAUCAAGCCUAUAGGACUUUUACUACUUUAAAUCACCUAGAAAUCAUACCUAUAUGAUUUAAUACUUUGAAUCGCCUAGAUAUCAUGCCUAUAGGACUUUUACUACUUUGAAUCAUUUAGAUAUCAUGCCCAUAGUCUUGCAUUCUUCUUCGAUCAAGCUCAUAGAUAUCAUGCCUAUAGAAUUGCACAAAUUAAAAAAAUAGGCAAACCAUAGGUAACACAACUCUCGUCUGCCUGAAACGUUUAAAAUAACAUUGAGUAAAUAAAGAAAUCAGAAUAGAUAUCCUGCCUAUAGGAUCUCAAAACUCGCUUAAGUCGUAUAAUUAGUAAUUUGGCAAUUAUUUCAAUGUUUGCAACAUAAUUCGUCCAAACCUGUUUGCAACUCUAAUUACUUGUGUUUCUAUCGCUAAAAUUGUUUUCCAACUCUCUGUCUGAACUUUUAUUCAUGAGGUCACUUUUAAACAGCUUUCAAACUCUCGUCUCUUUUUAUGAACACUUUACUUCUAAAACCUUAUUCAACUUCUUCAACUUCUGCUUCUUUCAAAACUUGUCUAUGUUAGUCCUAAAUUAACAAUUUGGUAAAAUACUCCAGGUCCUAACAAUUGGAUCCAAGUUGCCUAAUGUAGACCUUAUAUCUAAUCCUAUGUGUUAAACUGAUCCGUCCGCCGCUUAAUUUAACUAAAGACCAAACCACUAUAUGCAAUACAUGCUAAAAUAUAUGAUGUAUGUUUAAAGGGGUUUCUUUGAGCCUUGGUUUGUCUUCUCUUUCUUCCCCCCAACUUGGUAUCUAUUUUGAAUGACGAAUUAGACUUUUAUCCUUUGAAAUUCCAUGCAAAUCCCUAUCCCGUUCUUUCCCUUUUAGGAUUAGGAGUCCUAAUACCCCAUGACGAAUAAGUUGGGUCAGGUACUAGCAUGCAAUAAGUAAAACGAGACCAAUCGCGCUUAAAUACCUUAACGGGAUGGGAAGGUUAGAAUGUGGAUAUGAUGAUUGGUGCGCUAAUAUCUCAUGUGAGAAUAAUUACUGCUAUUGCACCAAAGUGAUCUAUAUUAUAUUUAACCAUAUGACCCCUUGCUACUUCUUUAUUUAUUAAUGUUGUGUCUUAGAUUAAUGUUUUCAAUUUAAAUUCCUCUUUUCAAAAUUAACUUGUGUCUUUCUUCUUUGAAAAUUUUCAACUUGCUUAUGUUUCCUAUGUGUAAACUUUGCUUGUUUACUCCUACUCUUCUUAAAGUCACAAUUAAGCAUGGGUGGGAACCACACUAGUAGAUCUUGAGGGGUGCCUAACACAUUCCCCUCGAGAUAAUCUCAAGCCCUUACUCGAACUCUGGUUUUCUUUCAAAAUCUUCUUCUUUUCCUUUUUUUUUAAAAGUAUCGUAAUGCACUAUCGCUUCCUUAAUUGCCUUUAUUUUCUUACCUUUAAUUAUUUCAUCAUGAAUACAAACUUGACUCUUCAUGUUUUUCUUUCCUUUCUCUUUCUUUUACUGCCUUAUUAUUAUUUCAAUUCCGAGCAUUUAUUGUAAUCUUUAACUUAUGAACGUGAAAAUACAUGUAAUUUAUUUCAUUGUUGUAACUGCAUUCCUCAACAUCAUAUUCCACUCGUGCCAAAACAAAUCAUAUAGCUAUGCUUAUAAUGAGUGGUUGAGUCGUUCCGAUAUUAUAACCCCUAAAUGCGGCAAAGGCAUAUUUGCGGUAAAACCAGUCGAUCAACGGUGUAGUCGAUCGUUCCGCGCCUUUCCCUCUUGAGUUGUCCGCUCAAGGGUACCUUGUCUAUCACUUCAAAAGUAGAAACCUAAUUCCAUUAAACUGUCCAUGCAUCAUGGUCAACCCUAGCCAACUCAGUUAUGGUAUCCACAUAAUGACUCAUUAAGAUAGCCUAAACCAAAGUCCACCGGGUUUCCUCGGAACACAAAAAGACACCUCCAUAUUCGGUGCAUUCAUUUGGAGAACUAAAUGCCUUUAUGCUAAUUGUUGAUUUAAACAGUCGAUUCUGGUGGAGUUAAGGGCCUAACGCUUUGUUUUGCAGAAAAUGAGGCACGAAGUCCCCAGAUUCGGUAUGGUAACCAACACUCACCCAAGGCUUCUAAGCUAGUGGGAAGAUCUUCAUGCAAGCGACCGAACUCUUAUAAAAGGAUCGACGACUGUCAGAAUGCUGAGGGAAGUGCAAGCGAACAUGUGGCUCGAGCCUAUCUGCUGUUAGGACUGCGCGAGUUGACGCAUUUGUACGAGGGAAGCAAGAGUACCAAAUCUGGGGAAGGUCUUUCUGGGACCAAGUAGUUAGGACCUUUUUAUUCUAGUGCUUUCAUAAUGUAAUAAGGCCACUGGCCACUAGUGACAUCUUUUAUUAUUCAGUCAUUUUCUUUAAGACUCGUC